AUUACGACAGUGGUGUUUUUCACACAUUUCCAUUCUGAUAAAGAAUAGGAGGAGUUUGGUUAAUUGGCACUGUUGAACCUCACCGACACGCCUUCAUGCUGUCGUCGAUCCUGAAUGGCUGAUACAAAUGUCGUAAUAGUCCCGACACGCCUUCAGUGACAGGACUAUCUAGAAGCAGACUUGGAGGCUGUACUUCUAGGCGACAGUGGGUACCCGCUGAGGCGUUAUUUGAUUACUCCUAUUCUGCACCCAUCAAAUGAGAAUGAGGAGAGGUACAACAGACGCCACAAGACUGGAAGAGAAGUUGUUGAGAGGGCUUUUGGUGUUUUGAAGUCAAGAUUUAGAUGCCUACACAGAUCGGGGGGG